AUUGAACGCUGGCGGCAUGCUUUACACAUGCAAGUCGAACGGUAACAGGCCUUCGGGUGCUGCCGAGUGGCGAACGGGUGCGUAAUGCAUCGGAACGUACCCAGAGGUGGGGGAUAACGCAGCGAAAGCUGUGCUAAUACCGCAUGUGAUCUGAGGAUGAAAGCGGGGGACCGAGCAGCAAUGUUUGGCCUCGCGCCUUUGGAGCGGCCGAUGUCGGAUUAGCUAGUUGGUGGGGUAAAGGCCUACCAAGGCGACGAUCCGUAGCUGGUCUGAGAGGACGACCAGCCACACUGGGACUGAGACACGGCCCAGACUCCUACGGGAGGCAGCAGUGGGGAAUUUUGGACAAAGGGCGCAAGCCUGAUCCAGCAAUGCCGCGUGCGGGAAGAAGGCCUUCGGGUUGUAAACCGCUUUUGGCAGGAACGAAACGGUGUCCGCUAAUACCGGGCGCUAAUGACGGUACCUGCAGAAUAAGCACCGGCUAACUACGUG
rnacentral:rRNA from 1 species